rfam:Schistosoma mattheei strain Denwood, Zambia genome assembly, scaffold: SMTD_scaffold0007723
UGAGGAGUCCCACAAUAGGACGAAACGGCCGUC